rnacentral:rRNA from 1 species
UACAGAGGGGGCAAGCGUUGUUCGGAAUUACUGGGCGUAAAGGGCGCGUAGGCGGCCUGUUAAGUCGAACGUGAAAUCCCUGGGCUCAACGCAGGAACUGCGUCCGAUACUGGCAGGCUUGAAUCCGGGAGAGGGAUGUGGAAUUCCAGGUGUAGCGGUGAAAUGCGUAGAUAUCUGGAGGAACACCGGUGGCGAAGGCGGCAUCCUGGACCGGUAUUGACGCUGAGGCGCGAAAGCCAGGGGAGCAAACGGG